rnacentral:rRNA from 1 species
GAUGAACGCUGGCGGCGUGCCUAAUACAUGCAAGUCGAGCGAACAGAUAAGGAGCUUGCUCCUUUGACGUUAGCGGCGGACGGGUGAGUAACACGUGGGUAACCUACCUAUAAGACUGGAAUAACUCCGGGAAACCGGGGCUAAUGCCGGAUAACAUGUUGAACCGCAUGGUUCUACAGUGAAAGGCGGCUUUGCUGUCACUUAUAGAUGGACCCGCGCCGUAUUAGCUAGUUGGUGAGGUAACGGCUCACCAAGGCAACGAUACGUAGCCGACCUGAGAGGGUGAUCGGCCACACUGGAACUGAGACACGGUCCAGACUCCUACGGGGGGCAGCAGUAGGGAAUCUUCCGCAAUGGGCGAAAGCCUGACGGAGCAACGCCGCGUGAGUGAUGAAGGUCUUCGGAUCGUAAAACUCUGUUAUUAGGGAAGAACAAAUGCGUAAGUAACUGUGCGCGUCUUGACGGUACCUAAUCAGAAAGCCACGGCUAACUACGUG